CUGGAUUUGAUUCAACUACUUGCAGGAGUGUGUAUGUUGGAAACAUCAGUUCUCAAGUCACGGAACAACUUCUUCAAGAGGUUUUCUCAAGUACCGGUCCCCUUGAGGGUUGUAAGCUUAUAAGGAAGGACAAGUCGUCCUAUGGGUUUGUGGAUUAUUUUGAUCGCCAAUCAGCUGCGCUUGCUAUUGUGAGCCUCAAUGGAAGGCAAUUGUUUGGACAGUGUAUAAAAGUUAACUGGGCUUAUGCCAGUGCUAAAAGAGAGGACACAUCAAAUCAUUUUAGCAUAUUUGUUGGUGAUCUUAGUCCGGAGGUUACAGAUUCCACACUGUUUGCGUGCUUUUCAGUAUACCCUAGCUGCUCAGAUGCAAGAGUGAUGGG
rnacentral:misc_RNA from 1 species